rnacentral:rRNA from 1 species
UUCCUACGGGGGGCAGCAGUGGGGAGUAUUGCACAAUGGGCGAAAGCCUGAUGCAGCAACGCCGCGUGAGCGAUGAAGGCCUUCGGGUCGUAAAGCUCUGUCCUCAAGGAAGAUAAUGACGGUACUUGAGGAGGAAGCCCCGGCUAACUACGUGCCAGCAGCCGCGGUAAUACGUAGGGGGCUAGCGUUAUCCGGAAUCACUGGGCGUAAAGGGCGCGUAGGCGGUUUAAUAAGUCAGUGGUGAAAACUGAGGGCUCAACCCUCAGCCUGCCACUGAUACUGUUAGACUUGAGUAUGGAAGAGGG